GAGUUUGAUCCUGGCUCAGAACGAACGCUGGCGGCAUGCUUAACACAUGCAAGUUGAACGCAGAAUAGGACUUCGGUUCUAUUGCUGAGUAGCAAACGGGUGAGUAACGCGUGGGAACCUACCUUUUUGUGGGGGAUAACUGAGGGAAACUUCAGCUAAUACCGCAUAAGCUCUACGGAGGAAAGGCUUCGGCCGCAAGAAGAGGAGCCCGCGUCAGAUUAGGUAGUUGGUAGGGUAAAGGCCUACCAAGCCAAUGAUCUGUAGCUGGUCUGAGAGGAUGAUCAGCCACACUGGGACUGAGACACGGCCCAGACUCCUACGGGAGGCAGCAGUGGGGAAUAUUGGACAAUGGGGGAAACCCUGAUCCAGCAAUGCCGCGUGAAUGAAGAAGGCCUUAGGGUUGUAAAGUUCUUUCACCUGUGAAGAUAAUGACGGUAGCAGGAGAAGAAGCCCCGGCUAACUCCGUGCCAGCAGCCGCGGUAAUAAGGGCGA
rnacentral:rRNA from 1 species